CUUAAAUGAAUUGACGGGGCCCGCACAAGCGGUGGAGCAUGUGGUUUAAUUCGACGCAACGCGAAGAACCUUACCAGGGCUUGACAUCCCCUGACCGCGUAUGAAAGUACGAAUUCACCUUCGGGUGACAGGGAGACAGGUGGUGCAUGGUUGUCGUCAGCCCGUGUCGUGAGAUGUUGGGUUAAGUCCCGCAACGAGCGCAACCCCUACGUUUAGUUGCUAACGCGUGAAGGCGAGCACUCUAGACGAACUGCCGUUGACAAAACGGAGGAAGGUGGGAUGACGUCAAAUCAUCAUGCCCCUUAUGUUCUGGGCUACACACGUGCUACAAUGGCCGGUACAGACGGACGCAAAGCCGCGAGGUGGAGCAAAUCCUAAAAAGCCGGUCUCAGUUCGGAUUGCAGGCUGCAAUUCGCCUGCAUGAAGUCGGAAUCGCUAGUAAUCGCAGGUCAGCAUACUGCGGUGAAUACGUUCCCGGGCCUU
rnacentral:rRNA from 1 species